GUGGCUAGAACUAGGGUAAUACUGGUGGGAAAAGAGAAAGAUGGACAAACUGGAGAAUACAAAAAAUAGGACUUCGUGAUGAACAGAUAGCGAGAGUUGAGGAUAUUCUGCUUCUGGCUUUUGCAAAUGGGUUUGUGAGCAGUAAUAUUAUUCACUAAGAAGAAGAGGGACAUUUAGACAUUUUGAGUUUGGGUGUGUGCAGUAACAGAAUUAGAGACGAAACGUGCUCCCUUGAGAGAACACCUCCUUUGAUAAAUCUAAUUUUUAUGCUUGCAAAUAACCUGUUCCUCAAAUUUGUUGAAACUGGUUAAAUCUUUUCAACUCCCCUAUCUCACACGUGUGUAUUUUCAGUAUAACAAGUAGCAUGCACAUCGGUUUGCAAAGUACACCUUUCACAUUGAUGGCAAAGGAUGAGCCUUGGGAGGACAAGAAUAUGGGGAAAGCCAUAUACUCUAAUAUACCUUGCACUGGAGUGACGUGCGUGGGUAGCUUCAGCAGCACCAAGUACAGACACAGCAUCUGACCGGCAACAACGCAGCUCUGUGGUUCACGCUCUCGCGUGUCCGCGGGAUCCCGCACGAGCUAAGCGACCGCUACUCUCGCGAGAGGUAGGGAGACCGCAGCUGCUUGGAUUCCCCAAACCGCGCUACGAGAGCUCCCACCUGCUGAGGAGCGGAGUCCGGCCACUCCCGCGGGCUUCUGGGAAUCGUAGUUCCGGGGCCGGACGAGGCCCGCCAGCCUUGCCCUGUGCUUUUGCGCAUGCGCGGCCCCGCUGGCCAGAGAAGUUCGUAGCCUUUGUGAGGCCCGGUGUGGGAGGUGAGUUGUUCCUCAGGUGCGGCUCUCCUUGCUCGGCCUCGGCGGUGCCCCCGGGACAUUAGUCUGCGCCGAGCCGGGUGGAGUGAGCGCUGGAGAAAGGGGCGUCGAGGGCAGGCACGAGCCCCAUCCCCGAAGCCCCGGGGCGCGGGGUGGGCGGGGGCUUGGUCUGCGCGGCGGCCCCUUGGCUGCGGCCCCGGCGCCUUUCCUCCGGCCGCUCGGCCCCCGCGCAGCUCCGAGCGGCAGCGCCAGGCGCGAGCGCCCAGCUUCAGGGAUGCUGUCCCGGCUUUCCAGGUGCCAGCCUCGAGGGCCAAGCCGGUUCGGGACGGAGCGAAGCCUUUCGGAGGAGCCCCCCGAGGGGAGGCGGGAAGGAGGACCACGAGGCCUCGGGGCUUCCCGCUCCUCCGCGCGGAGAGGGCUGCGCUGGGGGGAGAGCUGAACCUUCGCGGCCGGGAGGUGGUGACCAUGGAGACAGAUAUGGCCGAAAUGCCUGGGAAGAGCGCUCUGUCUUCCCAGGAUUCUCCCUUUUCCCAAGAAAAGAGCACAGAAGAGGGAGAAGUGGCAGCUUUGCGCCUCACAGCCAGAUCACAGGUGAGUGAGUCUCUGCUGGUUAUUGAAAUUCCACCUUAUUUCUCGGAGUGCAGACGCACUCCCUUCUUUUUGAUGUGGAGCUUCUGUGUCCACUAGAGCUGAAUUCUAAUUCUAAGAGACAACUCGAGUGACUAAAGGGCUCAGUGGAAAAUGUUUUCUGCUUCUUCGUGGUAUCUUGUCCGCCUAGUAUUUAUUAUCACUCAGAAGGCGUGGAAGGAGCAUUGCUCUUCUUUAGCCCAUUAGCUAAUUUCUAUGCUUGUUAUUUGGGAAACGAUUUUAAAAGACAAUGUGGUGCAUACCUCUUAAAAUGUAUGUUUCACUAGGGGAAACAACAUACACAUGACUGUUAAGUAGGAAUUUAAGAAAACACCUGAAGUGCUGGAGUGAAUUAUGAACAUAGUGAGUACUCAAAUAGUUCAAAGGAAUGCUGGAAAAGGAAGCCUAUAGAAGAUUUAAAGAGUUAGAAUCCAGCCCAGCAAGAUGAUGAAUGUGGAUGUAUUUUAGAGGUGAACUGUUACCAAGUUACAACUCAGUUUCCAAACUCUCACUUCCCCAAGGGCAAAUACUAAGAAUUGCUGAAUUUAAGCGGUAGUUGUAUAUGGGUGAUUAGUGUGUUAGUCUCUCAACUUUUUGUAUGUCUGAACAUCUUUCUUAAACGAAGUUGAGCGGGAGUGUGUGUGUCAUACCACAUGGUGUGUGUCAUACCACAAUGUGUGUGUCAUACCACAAUGCAAAGAUUCCUCCACUAGCCUCUCUUUUUGCUACUUUAAUCCAAAGUGUGAAAGUGGACAUUGCACAUUGCUGCCGUUUGUCAACGUGAUUUCCCAGGAUCCUUGUAUACUUGUUUGCCUCCAUUGGUUUCUUAAAUACCUUACGUGAAUAUUGAAGACUUUAUUAGUCAAGAAGCUUUAAGUUGCACCUGAUGAAAACUCGAUUCAAACUGGCUUAAGCAAAAAGAGGUAUUUAUUGACUAUUAUAAGUGAAAAAUCCAGGUCUGGCUAAAAUUGAGUUCAGGCAGUGACAUUAGAAUCUAUUUUCUCCAUUUCAGUGACCUUUUCUUUUCUUUCUGUGUGUUUUGCAGUCAAGCAGGCUUUUCUUCUCGUGCAGGGUAGCCCCUAACAAAUUUAGGCCUACAUCUUGCCACGUUGAAGAUCAUUGAAAAGGGGCAUCUUCCCUUCUGGUCGUUCCAGAAGAAGGACUGAGGUUAACUCUAUAAUGGGUAUUAGGCCCAUUGUUGGACCAUUAUUGGCAAAUCUGAGUGUGAUGAUCAGACUAGAAAAUAUACCUGUACAUACACAUACAAACACACAUCCCACCCAUGGGUCAGAGAUGGAGUUGUACUACCUGAACUGCAUGGACUAAAAGUGGUCAGGCAUAGCAGCCGGAGGAAAGUCAGAGUACAGAUACCAAAAAAAGGGUGAAUGCUUUAUACAUUUCAGCACAUUAAUAUUAGAUUCAAGACUGCUUGUAUAGUAGCUUCAGAAUUGAUUAAACCUUUUAUGGAAAGUUUUAAAACUAUCCUUUUUGCAUUGCAUUGGAUUUUGUUUGAUGCUAAUACUGCAACUGUCUUUCUUAUUAGAAUUUGCCUGGGCUGUUUAUCUUUUACUUAUUAGACUUUUUUAAUAAUUAGAGUUUUAAUUUUUGCUCAUGGUAACCAGGUGAACGGUACAGACGUAUAUAAAUAUUAAAGCAUAUUACCCGUCCUUACUUUCCCAAGUUCAGUCCACCACCUCUC
rnacentral:lncRNA from 1 species